UACGAAGGGGGCUAGCGUUGUUCGGAUUUACUGGGCGUAAAGCGCAUGUAGGCGGGUCGUUAAGUCGGGGGUGAAAGCCCAGAGCUCAACUCUGGAACUGCCUUCGAUACUGGCGACCUGGAGCAGGUCAGAGGCGAGUGGAAUUGCGAGUGUAGAGGUGAAAUUCGUAGAUAUUCGCAGGAACACCAGUGGCGAAGGAGACUCGCUGGGACUUUGAUGACGUUGAGAUGCGAAAGCGUGGGGAGCAAACAGG
rnacentral:rRNA from 1 species